GGGGAAUCUUCCGCAAUGGGCGAAAGCCUGACGGAGCAACGCCGCGUGAGUGAAGAAGGCCUUCGGGUUGUAAAACUCUGUCUUAUGGGAAGAAGAAAGUGACGGUACCAUAGGAGGAAGCCACGGCUAACUACGUGCCAGCAGCCGCGGUAAUACGUAGGUGGCGAGCGUUGUCCGGAAUUACUGGGCGUAAAGGGCGCGCAGGCGGGUUUUUAAGUCAGAUGUGUAAUCUACAGGCUCAACCUGUAGUUUGCAUCUGAUACUGGAAAUCUUGAGGGUAGGAGAGGACAGUGGAAUUCCUAGUGUAGCGGUGAAAUGCGUAGAUAUUAGGAGGAACACCAGUGGCGAAGGCGGCUGUCUGGCCUACAACUGACGCUGAGGCGCGAAAGCGUGGGUAGCGAAC
rnacentral:rRNA from 1 species